AUAUCAAUAAGCGGAGGAAAAGAAACCAACAGGGAUUGCCCUAGUAACGGCGAGUGAAGCGGCAACAGCUCAAAUUUGAAAUCUGGCCCUAGGCCCGAGUUGUAAUUUGCAGAGGAUGCUUUUGGCAGAGCGCUUACCGAGUCCCCUGGAACGGGGCGCCACAGAGGGUGAGAGCCCCGUAUGGUAUGACGCCGAGCCUCUGUAAAGCUCCUUCGACGAGUCGAGUAGUUUGGGAAUGCUGCUCUAAAUGGGAGGUAAAUUUCUUCUAAAGCUAAAUACCGGCCAGAGACCGAUAGCGCACAAGUAGAGUGAUCGAAAGAUGAAAAGCACUUUGAAAAGAGGGUUAAAUAGCACGUGAAAUUGUUGAAAGGGAAGCGCUCGUGACCAGACUUGCGCCGGGCGGAUCAUCCAGCGUUCUCGCUGGUGCACUCCGCCCGGCUCAGGCCAGCAUCGGUUUUCGCCGGGGGACAAAAGCUUCGGGAACGUGGCUCCCUUCGGGGAGUGUUAUAGCCCGUUGCUUAAUACCCCGGCGGGGACCGAGGACCGCGCUUCGGCAAGGAUGCUGGCGUAAUGGUCAUCAGCGACCCGUCUUGAAACACGGACCGAGGAGUCAAGCAUUAGUGCGAGUGUUUGGGUGUAAAACCCGCACGCGUAAUGAAAGUGAACGUAGGUGAGAGCUUCGGCGCAUCAUCGACCGAUCCUGAUGUUUUCGGAUGGAUUUGAGUAGGAGCAUUAACGCUUGGACCCGAAAGAUGGUGAACUAUACUUGAAUAGGGUGAAGCCAGAGGAAACUCUGGUGGAGGCUCGCAGCGGUUCUGACGUGCAAAUCGAUCGUCAAAUUUGAGUAUAGGGCGAAAGACUAAUCGAA
rnacentral:rRNA from 1 species